AGUUGAUCAUCAUGUGAAUGCAGAGAAGCAGGAAAGGAGGAGGGCUGAAACUGCACGUCAGAGGUGAUUUCACAAUUGUACUGAUGCUGUUGUGUGUAUAAAGAACGAUCAGCAGCUUUCAGCCAGCCAAACGCCGUCUAUACACACGAGGAAGAGAUGGAGACUAUGAAGACUCUGCUGAAGGUUUAUCUGCUGCUGCUGAUCGGACCUCCCUUCACUCUGGAACAAUCAGUGGGCCAGUACAUCACCGAGCUCCAGGUGUCUCUGGAUGAAGCUGAAGAGACGUAUCUUAGCAGUCAAGGUUUCAUCAAAAUCAAUGUUGAUCUGAACAAAGGAGCUGAAGGAAAAUACAUCUACCUUUGGUACAAAAAAGGCAGCAGCUCACCAAUCACCAGGAUUCAGCUUACAUUCAAUCAUGGCAUGAGCAGGGGUCUGAUCACUGCAGGUUACCAGAAGAUUAACAAGAACCUCAAUGCCGGAACAAGCGGAGACUACAUCUACCUGUGGUACUACAGAGGUAACUCAGAGUACGAUGUUCCCAUUGUGAACCUUCAUGUCUCUAUAGAAGCAAGAGAGGAAGCCCAGAUGUUUGCAUUUGGAUGGGAGAGACUGGCCUGUGAUCUGAACCGGAAAGCUAGAGGAAAAUGGAUCUACCUGUGGGUGAAGAGGGAGAGACCAACCUACAUCUGUGACAUCACUGCCAAUGCUGACUAUGAUGGAGAUGCUGACUACUUCCAGAACGGCUACAUCAGAGUGGAUGAAGAUACCAACAGAGGUGCAGGAGGAUCCUUUGUCUUCAUCUGGUACCGUCAGACCACGAACUCUCAAAGAGCCAUCACAGAUCUGCAGAUCUCCAUUAAUGAUAUAGAGAAGAAGUGGUUUCCGUAUAUGGGCUUUACAAGGGUAACUACUGAUCUAAGCAAGGGGGCAGGAGGAAGUUACGUGUACCUGUGGUACAAGAAAGACUCCGGUCUUCCCGUUCGGGCGGUCUCUGUGAUCGUCAACACAGCAGCUGUGGAGCAGUACAGAUAUCCCAGGGUCUUCAUUAGACAAAAAAACCUCAACAGUGGGAACAAAGAGCACUGAAACACCUGAAAGACAUCUGUGUAAACGAGGACAUAAAUGGAAGACUGGGCUGGGUGAGUGGGACAGAUCUCAGUGCUCACAGUUCAUA
ensembl:lncRNA